GGGGGCGUACGGGCUUCGACGUGGGUACCGAGGGCCAGGUGGCAUGCCGUGGCUCCUCACCGCCACGCUAAUCCGGUGAGGGAAACACACAAACGCCAACACUGAGCUGGCACUGGCCGCUUAAGUAAAAGCGGCACGCCCCUCUGAGAAGGCCUGCGGCUCGGAGAGGGCGACCGUAGCAGGCUAAGCCCCUGGGAAGGCCCCAGCCCCGGGGGACGAAAAACCCGUGGGGCUGCAAGGGGAAAGGGGCCCGGUUGCCGGCACCUUCCCCCCAAGCCCAAUAGGCAGCCUAAGCAUGUAGAAGCCUGGAGGUAGGGCCUGCGGACGCGGGUUCGACUCCCGCCGCCUCCACCA
rnacentral:tmRNA from 1 species